GACGAACGCUGGCGGCGUGCUUAACACAUGCAAGUCGAACGGUGAAGCGCUUUCCUUUUUGGUUGGUGUGGAUGAGUGGCGAAUGGGUGAGUAACACGUGAGUAACCUGCCCCCUUCUUCUGGAUAACCGCAUGAAAGUGUGGCUAAUACGGGAUAUUCUGCGCCUGCUGCAUGGUGGGUGUGGGAAAGAUUGUGCCUUUGGGUGUUUUCGGUGGGGGAUGGGCUCGCGGCCUAUCAGCUUGUUGGUGGGGUGAUGGCCUACCAAGGCGGUGACGGGUAGCCGGCCUGAGAGGGUGGACGGUCACACUGGGACUGAGACACGGCCCAGACUCCUACGGGAGGCAGCAGUGGGGAAUAUUGCACAAUGGGCGCAAGCCUGAUGGAGCGACGCCGCGUGAGGGAUGGAGGCCUUCGGGUUGUGAACCUCUUUCGCCAGUGAAGCAGGCCUGCUCCUUGUGGGUGGGUUGACGGUAGCUGGAUAAGAAGCGCCGGCUAACUACGUG
rnacentral:rRNA from 1 species